CUGAAACCAAGAGUCAGAUGCUCAACCAAAAGCCCCCCAGGCGCCCACGUCCUGGGUUUUAAAAGCCACUUUCACACUGACAUUUUGUGCAUGUGUGCCCUGGUCACGGACAGCGGAUAGGUUUCCCAUCACACGUAUGUCCAGUAGGAAGCCUGGUUUUCCAUCUCCGGGCUGGGUGUGUCAUCUGUUGAACUUGUCUAUGAGAAAUGAGAAAAUCCAACCCACUUCACAAAUGGUUGUCGGGAUGGAAUGAAACUAGGCAUGUGCCCUUGCUCUGAACAAGUCAGACAAAUAGACCUGCGAGGGUGUACUCUUUCCCCUCACACGGUGGCUCUAUUUAACUUGCUGUUUGACUUCUGUUUCAGUCUUGCCCUGCUGCCUUUGGCAUGUCGAUGUUGCUUUCUUUGUGACUGCCUUCAGCAGCCCAUGCGUGGGGCUGUGGGUUACCCAACUUGAAAGGUGUACAAAUCCUUUGCUUCUGAAAUCAGCCUCUCUGAGACUGUCUCUGUCUCGAUCCAUUAAAACCCCAUAAAGGAGGUCGGAUCCUGAGCAUUGCCCGGUGAGAGAAACAAAAAGGAAAAUGGACUUAAGUUUAAUACUAACUAACUCUUUGCAGGAUUCAUGGAGGGUGGGUUCUCGCAGGGCCCUGUAGUGGUUUCAGGAAUCCUCAGCGUUGUUCCAAGUCUCACUUUUGAAAUGGAGCUGGGAAAGGACCCUCACUGCUGGCCUGGGGCUCCCUUGUGCUUCAGGGGUUCUUGGAGGGUCCAUGGCUGGUGGGGGCUGGCAGAGAGGGGCACAGAAGAUGGAAACUUCUCUCUGGCUCUGCCUGCCCACAUGCUGAUGUGAUGAGGGCAGUGGCAACGGUAACAAGGUCUGGCACAUGGUAGAUCCUCAGCAAAACGACAGGUGGGUGAUGCCGUGGAUUGCGCAUGCGUGGGCAGAUUAAUGCUGCGGGUUGCGCGUGCGUGUGCAUGUGCGGGUUAAUUUGGUGGAUUGCGCAUGCGUAUAAAGGUUGAUGCCAUGGAUUGCGCGUGCGGGUUAACACGGUGGAUUGUGCGUGCGUGUACAGGUUGAUGCUGUGGAUUGUGCGUGCGUGUACAGGUUGAUGCCGUGGAUUGCGCGUGUGUGUGCAGGUUAAUUUAGUGGAUUGCGCAUGCGUAUAAAGGUUGAUGCCAUGGAUUGCGCGUGCGUGUACAGUUGAUGCUGUGGAUUGAGCGUGCAUGCGCAGGUUGAGAGCAGAGCUAGAGACAGGAGACAUGGGUUGUGGGGACUCUAGAAACUGAGAACAGCAGUGUCCGAGGUAGACACACUUUCAUGUCCCAAGAACAGCCAUGGGGCUCUCGGUACGGAGAUGACACAACGGAGCUUCUGGUCUUUGCUAGACAGAAAAUAAAGCAGCCAAAACUGGCUUUAGGAACCAGCUCAAUAAGGAAAUAAGCUGAAAGUUUCCCUCUUUGGUCACAAUGGAAUUUGAACUAGGUGUCUUCUUUCUUCAAAGUAAACUUGAUCCUACUUUGUGGUGUGUCUCUGCAGAAAUGUAGUAUGCUCUGCGGUUGACUUUUGUCCUUGAGAAAUUGAGGAGAUUUUCUCCAUUCCUUGUCACUGUGUCUAAACUCUGUUAGCUCAUGUGUGUAGAAGCUUCUAGGAAACUGGCUUCUGUUGACCUGCGUACAUUCAAGACCACCGUGUACUUUGUUAUUGAAAAGCCAUCAGUCAGUCAUGUGAGCGAGCGGACCUUUUUAUGGUUGAGAUUGUCCCCAGGGAAACCCUCCUCGCAAUUCAGACCUUCCACGGUGACGGAUUUCAAACUCUGACAUUCCCCAUUUCUACUUCCUUGUUCCCAUGGAGGCUGCAGUUCUCACUGUCUCUGCCUCGCCCCACUAGAAAAUGGUCAUACCUAAUUCCAAAAAUGACACACAGCACUUGACCAUGUGUAUAGAUAGCGACAGAGAAAAAUAUGCAAAGAGUUCAUGGCAAAAGGCAUUAAUUAUUAGGGAGUGAAAGAGAGGUUUUGCAUUGUGUGAAGGGACAUCUUUAGUGAGGGCCCACAAGCAUAGUAUCAGACUUCAGAGAGGAAAUUGGAAGAAAUACCAGAAGAAUUGAGAAACCCUUGGGGAACCUCAAACAUAGUCUCGAUCAUGGAGAUAAACCUCAAUUAGGCAACAAGGAGUUUGGAUACGAUGGUUAAUAAGAUCAUGGUAACAGAGGAGACUGAACUUUGUACUCUACAAAUGAUACACAUUUGAAAGUACUCUUGGAAUAUUUAGAAAAAUUAAUCAUCUGUUAAAUCUCAAAAAAAAAAAA